rnacentral:sRNA from 1 species
UAUCAUCUCCGGUGAAAGGUGUCAUG